rnacentral:rRNA from 1 species
CUGGCGGCGUGCCUAAACAUGCAAGUCGAGCGGUAACAGGUGUAGCAAUACAUGCUGACGAGCGGCGAACGGGUGAGUAAUGUUUCGGAAUCUGCCCAAUGGUGGGGAAUAACCAGCCGAAAGGUUGGCUAAUACCGCAUACGUCCUGCGGGAGAAAGCGGGGGAUCGCAAGACCUCGCGCCGAUGGAUGAGCCGAAACCGGAUUAGCUAGUUGGUAGGGUAACGGCCUACCAAGGCGACGAUCCGUAGCUGGUCUGAGAGGACGACCAGCCACACUGGGACUGAGACACGGCCCAGACUCCUACGGGAGGCAGCAGUGGGGAAUAUUGGACAAUGGGGGAAACCCUGAUCCAGCGACGCCGCGUGUGUGAAGAAGGCCUGCGGGUUGUAAAGCACUUUUAGUGGGGAUGAAAAGCUCAGGGCUAACACCUCUGGGUCUUGACCUAACCCACAGAAAAAGCACCGGCUAACUCUGUGCCAGCAGCCGCGGUAAUACAGAGGGUGCAAGCGUUAAUCGGAAUUACUGGGCGUAAAGCGUGCG